GAACGCUGGCGGCAUGCCUAACACAUGCAAGUCGAACGAGAUCUUCGGAUCUAGUGGCGCACGGGUGCGUAACGCGUGGGAAUCUGCCCCUUGCUUCGGAAUAACAGUGAGAAAUUACUGCUAAUACCGGAUGAUGUCUUCGGACCAAAGAUUUAUCGGCAAGGGAUGAGCCCGCGUAGGAUUAGGUAGUUGGUGGGGUAAUGGCCUACCAAGCCGACGAUCCUUAGCUGGUCUGAGAGGAUGAUCAGCCACACUGGGACUGAGACACGGCCCAGACUCCUACGGGAGGCAGCAGUGGGGAAUAUUGGACAAUGGGCGAAAGCCUGAUCCAGCAAUGCCGCGUGAGUGAUGAAGGCCUUAGGGUUGUAAAGCUCUUUUACCAGGGAUGAUAAUGACAGUACCUGGAGAAUAAGCUCCGGCUAACUCCGUG
rnacentral:rRNA from 1 species